rnacentral:RNase_P_RNA from 1 species
GAAAUGGGAUGAAUGAUCGCGGCGAAAGCUGAGGAAAGUCCGGACUUCACAGGGCAGGGUGCCGGGUAACACCCGGAAGGAGUGAUCCUUGAUAAGGGCCAUAGAAAUGAAAACCGCCCGAAAGGGCAAGGAUGGAAAGGCGAGGUAAGAGCUCACCAGCUGCCGAGUAAUCGGCAGGCUCGGUAACCUCCACCCGAAGCAAGACCAAGUCGAGGGGCUAUAAGGUGGCCCGCCAACCCUCUGGUAGGUCGCUUGAGGGAUGUGGAAACGCAUCUCGGAGAUAGAUGAUCAUUCAAGACAGAAUCCGGCUUACAGUCCCAUUUCCUUA